GAUGAACGCUGGCGGCGUGCCUAAUACAUGCAAGUCGAGCGAACGGACGAGAAGCUUGCUUCUCUGAUGUUAGCGGCGGACGGGUGAGUAACAUGUGGAUAACCUACCUAUAAUACUGGGAUAACUUCGGGAAACCGUAGCUAAUACCGGAUAAUAUUUUGAACCGCAUGGUUCAAAAGUGAAAGACGGUCUUGCUGUCACUUAUAGAUGGAUCCGCGCUGCAUUAGCUAGUUGGUAAGGUAACGGCUUACCAAGGCAACGAUGCAUAGCCGACCUGAGAGGGUGAUCGGCCACACUGGAUCUGAGACACGGUCCAGACUCCUACGGGAGGCAGCAGUAGGGAAUCGUCCGCAAUGGGCGAAAGCCUGACGGAGCAACGCCGCGUGAGUGAUGAAGGUCUUCGGAUCGUAAAACUCUGUUAUUAGGGAAGAACAUAUGUGUAAGUAACUGUGCACAUCUUGACGGUACCUAAUCAGAAAGCCACGGCUAACUACGUG
rnacentral:rRNA from 1 species